UAGAUAUCUGAGCGUACUUUUAAAUAAUUCAAAACUUUCAACAACGGAUCUCUUGGUUCUGGCAUCGAUGAAGAACGCAGCGAAAUGCGAUAAGUAAUGUGAAUUGCAGAAUUCAGUGAAUCAUCGAAUCUUUGAACGCACAUUGCGCCCAUUAGUACUCUAGUGGGCGUGCCUGUUCGAGCGUCAUUACGACCCUUAAGCCUAGCUUAGUAUUGGGAACCUACGUGCGGCAGCUACCCUGUAGCUACCCUGUAGCUCCUUAAAGACAACGGCGGAGACGUGGAGUCCUCUGAGCUUAGUAACUUUUCUAGCUUCUGAGGGCGCCGCGGCCCCUGCCGUAAAACCCCAACUUUUAGUGGUUGACCUCGGAUCAGGUAGGAAUACCCGCUGAACUUAAGCAUAUCAAUAAGCGGAGGAAAAGAAACCAACAGGGAUUGCCUUAGUAACGGCGAGUGAAGCGGCAACAGCUCAAAUUUGAAAGCUGGCCUUCGGGUCCGCGUUGUAAUUUGUAGAGGAUGCUUUUGGUUAGGUGCCUUACGAGUUCCCUGGAACGGGACGCCUUAGAGGGUGAGAGCCCCGUACGUUUGGUUACCGAGCCUCUGUAAAGCUCCUUCGACGAGUCGAGUAGUUUGGGAAUGCUGCUCUAAAUGGGAGGUAAAUUUCUUCUAAAGCUAAAUACCGGCCAGAGACCGAUAGCGCACAAGUAGAGUGAUCGAAAGAUGAAAAGCACUUUGAAAAGAGGGUUAAAUAGCACGUGAAAUUGUUGAAAGGGAAGCGUUUAUGACCAGACUUUUUCCUAGCGGAUCAUCCGGCGUUCUCGCCGGUGCACUU
rnacentral:rRNA from 1 species